CCCACCAAAUUAAUAUAAUGGUGGAAGAUGUGAAUGGGAAUUGUUGUAAGCUGCCUAAGUCUUAUUAAGGCAGACAGACAGAGACAGACCUCACCACUGUGUCUGCGCUACUGCUAGAUCUGCGAUUGACCAGAGGGGAAACAAGAAGCAGAGCAGCCACUGUGCAGCCACCGCAGGAUGUCACACACAUCCUGGGCUUGCAGAAUGAAACCUGCCCCCAAGGAAGCCUGGCUGCAGCCAGACUCUCUGACCAACAGACUGUUUCCAGAACAGCCUACAGAUGCUCAGAGUAAGGGCUGAGUCCUCCGCGUGUGUGCAGCGCAGCAGAGGAGACAGACAGUAGUGG